GACGAACGCUGGCGGCGUGCCUAAUACAUGCAAGUUGAGCGCUGAAGGUUGGUACUUGUACCAACUGGAUGAGCAGCGAACGGGUGAGUAACGCGUGGGGAAUCUGCCUUUGAGCGGGGGACAACAUUUGGAAACGAAUGCUAAUACCGCAUAAAAACUUUAAACACAAGUUUUAAGUUUGAAAGAUGCAAUUGCAUCACUCAAAGAUGAUCCCGCGUUGUAUUAGCUAGUUGGUGAGGUAAAGGCUCACCAAGGCGAUGAUACAUAGCCGACCUGAGAGGGUGAUCGGCCACAUUGGGACUGGGACACGGCCCAAACUCCUACGGGAGGCAGCAGUAGGGAAUCUUCGGAAAUGGACGAAAGUCUGACCGAGCAACGCCGCGUGAGUGAAGAAGGUUUUCGGAUCGUAAAACUCUGUUGGUAGAGAAGAAAGUUGGUGAGAGUGGAAAGCUCAUCAAGUGACGGUAACUACCCAGAAAGGGACGGCUAACUACGUG
rnacentral:rRNA from 1 species